GUUACAGGACAUGCUAGACUUUUUUCCCCAGAAAAACAAAGCAUUCAAUCAAAAUUCAAUAUGCUUCCUUUUUUAUCAACAGGAUGACUGGAAUAUACGCACAGAGAAAUGUUCACAGGACUUUAUUCAUUUACAGAACUGCAAAUCUCUACCAUCAAAAUCUCACAGAAAAGAACUUUGAAAUAAUCUUCAGCCAAGCAGUCACCACCACAUACCUUUAAUCCCAGCACUCGGGAGGCAGAGGCAAGCGGAUCCCUGUGAGUUUGAGACCAGCCUGGUCUACAAGAGCUAGUUCCACGACAGGCUCCAAAGCUACACAGAGAAAUUCUGCCUUGAAAAACCAAAACCAAAAAUAAAAGAAAUAAUUUUCCACUCUGUAAAAUAUGCCUUCCUGCUACUCAGACCAAGAAACACGGGAAAUUAUCCACUGGUAACUUAGAAAAGAGAAAAUAAAUGGCAAAAAAAUUAAAACCAUUUUGAAAAGGGUAAGACACAAGGAUUGGAAAAUGAGGCAUUGAGAAAAAUAUUCCUGGGAAAUUACAAUGUACUACCGUGUGAUAAUUUCAGAAAUAAAAUAUACUGAAAUAGAAAGUUGAAUCCCAAUUUUAUGAGAAAGCCAAAUAUCCUAAAACUUCAGCAUUAGAUUAAAGCCACAAUGCAUUUUUAAUGAAAAACCUUACAAACACAGGUCAGAAAGUU
rnacentral:lncRNA from 1 species